GUAUAGUAAUGCAUAUGAGAGCAAAUGAUUUCGACUUGGGCCUAACUUUUUAAACUAAAAAAAAAGGCUUGCCAAGGAAGCCCACUGCAUCUUGAUCAUGAUUCAUUCGCAAACGAAAGAGCACAACGGAGGACCAUAUCAACUCAUCAGCCCGAACCAAACAAAAGGGCCAUUAACUUGGGUCUUCUUCUUCCUCUGGUGAGUCAGUGACGGGUUCUUUCCCUGAGUCCCUCUUCGGCUCUUCCGCCCCUACAAAAGCAAUGCCUGACGGCUCUGAACAUUCCGACGGACCCUUGACUCGUCAUCGGUCUGGUUGGAGCAGAGAGGCGAGCUGAAGAGGA
rnacentral:lncRNA from 1 species